AGUGAACGCUGGCGGUAGGCCUAACACAUGCAAGUCGAACGGCAGCACAGUAAGCGCUUGCUCUUACGGGUGGCGAGUGGCGGACGGGUGAGGAAUACAUCGGAAUCUACUUUUUCGUGGGGGAUAACGUAGGGAAACUUACGCUAAUACCUCAUACGACCUACGGGUGAAAGCAGGGGAUCUUCGGACCUUGCGCGAUUGAAUGAGCCGAUGUCGGAUUAGCUAGUUGGCGGGGUAAAGGCCCACCAAGGCGACGAUCCGUAGCUGGUCUGAGAGGAUGAUCAGCCACACUGGAACUGAGACACGGUCCAGACUCCUACGGGAGGCAGCAGUGGGGAAUAUUGGACAAUGGGCGCAAGCCUGAUCCAGCCAUACCGCGUGGGUGAAGAAGGCCUUCGGGUUGUAAAGCCCUUUUGUUGGGAAAGAAAAGCAGCAGGUUAAUACCCCGCUGUUCUGACGGUACCCAAAGAAUAAGCACCGGCUAACUUCGUG
rnacentral:rRNA from 1 species